AUGGCGGAGGAACCGUCCGCCAAGCAUCAUCAUGGCGAGACGUUGGACAAGAGUAGCAACCUCGUCGACGUUCACGUCCCCAGCGAGAAGCGCGAGUACACAAGAACCCUCACAGGGGUUGAGCUCCACGACAAGGAGACGCUGGAGAUCGUCUGCACCAGCAAACCAGACAAGGCCGACAAGAUGAUGAGCAGGCUCAGGAUGAAGGGCGGCGGCUUGUAUCCGAGCUUCAUUGGAGUUGAUGUGGAGUACACAAGCGAAGAUGAACCUCCACAGAUGGCAGCAGUCCUACGGUUGUGCGUCGAGGAACUCUGCUUGGUGUACCACAUCGCAGCGGCCACAAAA
rnacentral:rRNA from 1 species